rnacentral:rRNA from 1 species
GGGGAAUAUUGGACAAUGGGCGCAAGCCUGAUCCAGCCAUGCCGCGUGUGUGAAGAAGGCCUUCGGGUUGUAAAGCACUUUUGUUGGGGAAGAAAGCGUACGGACUAAUACUUCGUGCGGAUGACGGUACCCAAAGAAUAAGCACCGGCUAACUUCGUGCCAGCAGCCGCGGUAAUACGAAGGGUGCAAGCGUUACUCGGAAUUACUGGGCGUAAAGCGUGCGCAGGCGGUUCGUUAAGUCUGCUGUGAAAGCCCUGGGCUCAACCUGGGAAUGGCAGUGGAUACUGGCGAGCUAGAGUACGGUAGAGGAAGGUGGAAUUCCCGGUGUAGCGGUGAAAUGCGUAGAGAUCGGGAGGAACACCAGUGGCGAAGGCGACCUUCUGGACCAGUACUGACGCUCAUGCACGAAAGCGUGGGGAGCAAACA